GGCUGAGAAUUAGUGCUGCUCCAACAGGAAACCCUCGUCAAGGACGUUCCGCCGGCUACGAGGAGACAUGGGGAACUCACUGGAUUCUGAGGACACACAUUUUCUGCAACGCAGCUCUCUGAAGUUUUUCAAGAAGCCAGAUAAGACUGCCCAAAUCAGAAGGUGCCCGAAACCAUCCAACCUCACCACGUCCGGAGACAGGUGGCAUGAGGCAGACACCCCUGGUGCCCCACAUGGCACCCCCGGGCCCAUCUCCGACUCUGCUGCGCCUUGGGGGCAGGUGCCAGUGACCUCAGACAUCAGACAGCAUCCGCCUCACGCCUGCAUGCUGCACGUCUCCAUGCACAUGGAAGCCUGCCUGGGCCAGCGCACACGGCCAGGAGCGCAGGGGGAAGCCCCAGGGCAAACCUGGGGCAGAGUGGAUGAGCCAGUGGGUGGGGGUGGAUGGGCCCUGCCUCCAUCCUUCCUGUGGACAGUCUGUCCCCAUCCCUGGAGGUCCCAGUGAAAUAAGGCAUCGUGGCCACAGCAGCU
rnacentral:lncRNA from 1 species